AGUGAACGCUGGCGGUAGGCCUAACACAUGCCAGUCGAACGGCAGCACAGUAAGAGCUUGCUCUUACGGGUGGCGAGUGGCGGACGGGUGAGGAAUACAUCGGAAUCUACUUUUUCGUGGGGGAUAACGUAGGGAAACUUACGCUAAUACCGCAUACGACCUACGGGUGAAAGCAGUGGAUCUUCGGACCUUGCGCGAUUGAAUGAGCCGAUGUCGGAUUAGCUAGUUGGCGGGGUAAAGGCCCACCAAGGCGACGAUCCGUAGCUGGUCUGAGAGGAUGAUCAGCAACACUGGAAAUGAGACACGGUCCAGACUCCUACGGGAGGAAGCAGUGGGGAAUAUUGGACAAUGGGCGCAAGCAUGAUCCAGCCAUACCGCGUGGGUGAAGAAGGCCUUCGGGUUGUAAAGCCCUUUUGUUGGGAAAGAAAAGCAGCAGGUUAAUACCCCGCUGUUCUGACGGUACCCAAAGAAUAAGCACCGGCUAACUUCGUG
rnacentral:rRNA from 1 species